rnacentral:rRNA from 1 species
AUGGAGAAGAGGCUGAAACUAAGUCGCGACAGCACGACGGAGGAAGUGGAUGCUACGCAGUACCGACACCUUGUGGGGAGCCUUCGCUACCUCACUCACACACGGCCGGACUUGGCAUUCUCCGUCGGCUAUGUCAGUCGGUUCAUGGAGCGACCAACGUCGGAACACCAGCAGGCAGUGAAGAGGAUCGUCCGCUACAUAGCAGGGACCCUCGACCACGGCCUCCACUACCCUAGGUGUCCUGGGGCGGCACACUUCGUCGGGUACAGCGACAGCGACCACGCCGGCGACAUCGACACCAGCAAGAGCACGAGCGGGAUCCUCCUCUUCCUCGGCAAGUGUCUCGUGAGCUGGCAAUCAGUCAAGCAGCAGGUGGUGGCCCUGUCCAGCUGUGAGGCUGAGUACAUAGCGGCCUCCACCGCCUGUACUCAGGCGCUCUGGCUUGCUCGACUGCUUGGUGAUCUUCUCGUUCAAGACACCAGAACGGUGCAGCUCCUGGUGGACAGCAAGUCCGCCCUGGCCCUGGCAAAGAACCCCGUGUUCCACGAACAGAGCAAGCACAUCCGACUGAGGUAUCACUUCAUCCGCAGCUGUGUGGAAGAAGGGAGCAUCGAGGCGAGCUACAUCAACACCAAGGAUCACCUCGCAGACCUACUCACCAAGCCCCUUGGGAGGGUUAAGUUCCUCGAACUUUGCUCCAGGAUUGGGAUGAUUCAACUCUCCCACAAGACGACGUACAAGACUUAG